rnacentral:rRNA from 1 species
UACGAAGGGGGCUAGCGUUGCUCGGAAUUACUGGGCGUAAAGGGAGCGUAGGCGGCUUGUCGCGUCGACUGUGAAAUCUCAGGGCUCAACUCUGACAUUGCAGUCGAUACGGGCAGGCUAGAGUUCGGUAGGGGAGACUGGAAUUCCUGGUGUAGCGGUGAAAUGCGCAGAUAUCAGGAGGAACACCAAUGGCGAAGGCAGCUCGCUGGGACGGUACUGACGCUGAGACGCGAAAGCGUGGGGAGCAAACAGG